rnacentral:rRNA from 1 species
GAUGAACGCUGGCGGCGUGCCUAAUACAUGCAAGUCGAGCGAACGGACGAGAAGCUUGCUUCUCUGAUGUUAGCGGCGGACGGGUGAGUAACACGUGGACAACCUACCUAUAAGACUGGGAUAACUUCGGGAAACCGGAGCUAAUACCGGAUAAUAUUUUGAACCGCAUGGUUCAAAAGUGAAAGACGGUCUUGCUGUCACUUAUAGAUGGAUCCGCGCUGCAUUAGCUAGUUGGUAAGGUAACGGCUUACCAAGGCAACGAUGCAUAGCCGACCUGAGAGGGUGAUCGGCCACACUGGAACUGAGACACGGUCCAGACUCCUACGGGAGGCAGCAGUAGGGAAUCUUCCGCAAUGGGCGAAAGCCUGACGGAGCAACGCCGCGUGAGUGAUGAAGGUCUUCGGAUCGUAAAACUCUGUUAUUAGGGAAGAACAUAUGUGUAAGUAACUGUGCACAUCUUGACGGUACCUAAUCAGAAAGCCACGGCUAACUACGUG